rnacentral:rRNA from 1 species
AUUUUUACGAAAUGUUGCAUUGUAACGUAUAGACUCGUCAUCUACAUGAUUGCCAAUGUUAAAGUCGCAUAGAAUGGCGCACCAAAGAGGGUUAUAGUCCCGUAAAUGGCAUUGGUAACAAUUGUGGCUGUAUGACGAUGUCAAAGAGUCGGAUUGUUUGGGAAUGCAGUCUGAAGUGGGUGGUAAACUCCAUCCAAGACUAAAUAUGACUUUGAGACCGAUAGCGAACAAGUACCGUGAGGGAAAGUUGAAAAGUACUCUGAAAAGAGAGUGAAAAGUGCGUGAAACCGUUAAUGGGGAAGCGUACGGUAGAAUCAAAGUGUCGGAUUGUGUUUUGUAAUGUGUGGUGCAUAACAAUAAUGAUACGAUACGCGCUGGACUCAUUGUUGAAUGUGACUGGAUGCGUAUUUAGUUGGCAACAAUGUGUGUAUCAGUAGAUAUUUGCAUGUUGUUAAUGAAUAUGAGUUGUCUGUAGAGUUGACAAUUGGCAAUGACGGAUGUGUGAGAAGAUGUAAUGCAUUGUGUGUGGUUGCAAUGUAUUGAUUUUAUAAAUUGAUUGCGUUGUAAAGAACAUAAUGUAUGAUAUUUUCCAAUUGACUAUGGUCGCACACGUAUUUCCAGCGAGAUAUACUACUGUUCGACCCGUCUUGAAACACGGACCAAGGAGGCUAACUUGUAUGCGAGUUGAGGAGUGGAGAAACUCUGAGGCGUAACGAAAGUGAAAUGUGAGAUUCAUUGGUGUUGAACUAAUGACGUAUCACAGACCGAUUGGAAGAGAGACUACAAUCGAGUUGAAGCAUACUGGCUAGAACCCGAAAGAUGGUGAACUAUUCCUGAGGAGAGCGAAUUCAUUGGAA